AUUGAACGCUGGCGGCAGGCUUAACACAUGCAAGUCGAGCGGAGAGAGGUAGCUUGCUACUGAUCUUAGCGGCGGACGGGUGAGUAAUGCUUAGGAAUCUGCCUAUUAGUGGGGGACAACAUUUCGAAAGGAAUGCUAAUACCGCAUACGUCCUACGGGAGAAAGCAGGGGAUCUUCGGACCUUGCGCUAAUAGAUGAGCCUAAGUCGGAUUAGCUAGUUGGUGGGGUAAAGGCCUACCAAGGCGACGAUCUUUAGCGGGUCUGAGAGGAUGGUCCGCCACACUGGGACUGAGACACGGCCCAGAAUCCUACGGGAGGCAGCAGUGGGGAAUAUUGGACAAUGGGCGCAAGCCUGAUCCAGCCAUGCCGCGUGUGUGAAGAAGGCCUUAUGGUUGUAAAGCACUUUAAGCGAGGAGGAGGCUACUUUAGUUAAUACCUAGAGAUAGUGGACGUUACUCGCAGAAUAAGCACCGGCUAACUCUGUGCCAGCCGCCGCAGUAA
rnacentral:rRNA from 1 species